rnacentral:rRNA from 1 species
AUUGAACGCUGGCGGAAUGCUUUACACAUGCAAGUCGAACGGCAGCACGGACUUCGGUCUGGUGGCGAGUGGCGAACGGGUGAGUAAUGUAUCGGAACGUGCCCAGCCGUGGGGGAUAACGUAGCGAAAAUUACGCUAAUACCGCAUACGAUCUAUGGAUGAAAGCGGGGGAUCGCAAGACCUCGCGCGAUUGGAGCGGCCGAUAUCAGAUUAGGUAGUUGGUGGGGUAAAGGCCCACCAAGCCAACGAUCUGUAGCCGGUAUGAGAGGACGACCAGCCACACUAGAACUGAGACACGGUCCAGACUCCUACGGUAGGCAGCAGUGGGGAAUUUUGGACAAUGGGCGAAAGCCUGAUCCAGCCAUUCCGCGUGCAGGAUGAAGGCCCUCGGGUUGUAAACUACUUUUGUACAGAGCGAAAAGGUUUCUACUAAUACUGGGAGCUCAUGACGGUACUGUAAGAAUAAGCACCGGCUAACUACGUGCCAGCCGCCGCAGUAA